rnacentral:lncRNA from 1 species
UCUUGGAGAUUCUUUUACAUUAUGAAUUCUAGAACAGUGGUAAGUGGUAGCUUCUACAAACAGAAAUUUACUGCCAAUGAAAUUAAAUGUGUGGCUACAACAUCAAACAACCAGAAUUUAAGAAUUAUUACAGAACAGAAUAAAGUGAGGGUCUGAAGAAUUAUCCAUAAAGCAUGAUCCUUUCUAGGAGAUUAGAAAGAAUCCUGAUUUCUUGCUUCUUAUCAACAAUGUAGAACUUUCUUCUGGUUCUUUCCUUGU